rnacentral:miRNA from 1 species
CACAGGUAUAUGUUUGUACAUGUAAAUAAAACAAAAAUACAAAAAUACAACACAAUAUAGUGUGUUGUAUUUUUGUUUUAUUUACAUGUACAAACAUAUACCUGUGAU